CGGCCCGUAGCUCAACGGUAGAGCAGUCGCCUUAUAUGCGAUUGGUUGGGGGUUCGAAUCCCUCCGGGCCGA
rnacentral:tRNA from 1 species